GGUCAAGUUAGAAAGGGCGUAUGGUGGAUGCCCAGGCACUUAGAGCCGAAGAAGGACGCAGCAAGCGGCGAAACGCUCCGGGGAGUCGCAAGCAGACGUAGAUCCGGAGAUAUCCGAAUGGGGAAACCCGCUUAAGGUAAUACUUAAGCAUCCCAUGGUGAACACAUAGCCAUGAGGAGGGGAAACCGCGUGAACUGAAACAUCUAAGUAGCGCGAGGAAAAGAAAGAAAAAGUCGAUUUCCUGAGUAGUGGCGAGCGAAAAGGAAGGAGCCCAAACCAUCACCAUUGGUGAUGGGGUUUAGGACCACGAUAAGGUAUAUAAAGCGAAGCCGAACAGACCUGGGAAGGCAGGCCAAAGAAGGUGAAAGCCCUGUAGGCGAAAGCGAAAUAUACCGAGUGGGAUCCAGAGUACCACAGGAUAGGCAACCCGGUGGGAAGACGGGAGGACCAUCUCCCAAGGCUAAAUACUCCUAAGUGACCGAUAGCGCAUAGUACCGUGAGGGAAAGGUGAAAAGAAUCCCGGGAGGGGAGUGAAAGAGAACCUGAAACCAUAUGUCCACAAGCAGUGGAAGCGAAAGCAACCACGUACUUUUUGUAGAACGGACCGGCGAGUUAUAGAUAUGCAGCGAGGUUAAGCGAAAGCGGAGCCGAAGCGAAAGCGAGUCUUAAAAGGGCGGAAGUUGCAUAUCAUAGACCCGAAACCGUGCGACCUACCCAUGAUCAGGGUGAAGCCGGAGUAAGAUCUGGUGGAGGCCCGAACCACGUUGACGUUGAAAAGUCAUGGGAUGAAUUGUGGGUAGCGGAGAAAUUCCAAUCGAGCUCGGAGAUAGCUGGUUCUCCCCGAAAUAGCUUUAGGGCUAGCCUCAGGGGGAAGGAAAUAUGGAGGUAGAGCACUGAAUGGACAAGGGGCCAAGAAGGUUACCGAAGCCUAUCAAACUCCGAAUGCCAUAUUGAGACCCUGGGAGUCAGACUACGAGUGAUAAGAUCCGUGGUCAAAAGGGAAAGAGCCCAGACCGACAGCUAAGGUCCCAAAGAGCAUGUUAAGUGGGAAAGGAAGUAGGAUUUCCAAGACAACCAGGAUGUUGGCUUAGAAGCAGCCAUACAUUCAAAGAGUGCGUAAUAGCUCACUGGUCGAGAAAUCCCGCGCCGAAAAUAAACGGGGCUAAAACAUGCCACCGAAGCUACGGAUUCUAAAAAGAAUGGUAGGGGAGCGUACUGUACAGGGAGAAGGAUAAGCGAAAGCGAAUCUGGACAGUACAGUAGAGAGAAUGCCGGUAUAAGUAACGAGAGUAAGGCGAGAAACCUUACCGUCGAAAGCCUAAGGAUUCCUGGGGAAGGAUAAUCCGCCCAGGGUAAGUCGGGACCUAAGCCGAGGCGAAAGCGUAGGCGAUGGAGAACCGGUAAUAAAUCCGGUACCACCGAAAUCCGCCAAAAGAGAAGCAAGGACGCAGCGAGAUAAGAAAAGCGUGCGGUUGGUAGAGCACGUCCAAGCAGCGACGAAAAGAGCUUUGAGUGAAGUACCAAAGCUCAUAAGAGCUGUGAAGGGGAGCCGUAAGGCGAAGUUUCGAAGGGGCUGCCAAGAAAAGUUGCUAUCGAGGAUUAGGUGCCCGUACCACAAACCGACACAGGUAGGCGAGGAGAGAAUCCAAAGACGAGCGGGAGAACCCUCAUUAAGGAACUCGGCAAAAAGACUCCGUAACUUCGGGAGAAGGAGUGCCGAAAGGCCGCAGAGAAGAGGCCCAAGCGACUGUUUACCAAAAACACAGGUUUCUGCUAAGUCGAAAGACGAAGUAUAGGAGCUGACGCCUGCCCGGUGCUGGAAGGUUAAGGGGAAGGGUCAGGAGAAAAUCCAAAGCUCUGAACUUAAGCCCCAGUAAACGGCGGCCGUAACUAUAACGGUCCUAAGGUAGCGAAAUUCUUGUCGGGUAAGUUCCGACUGCACGAAAGGCGUAACGACUUGGGCGCUGUCUUGAAGGGGGACCCGGUGAAAUUGUAGUACUCGUGAAGAUGCGAGUUACCCGCGACAGGACAGAAAGACCCCAUGGAGCUUUACUGCAGCUUGUCACUGAAUUUUAGUAAUAUCUGUACAGGAUAGGUGGGAGGCGGAGAGAUAUGGGCGCCAGCCUAUAUGGAGCCAACGUUGGGAUACCACCCUGAUAUUACCGAAAUUCUAACAUAGGAGCCGUAAGCCGGCAUAUGGACACUGACAGGCGGGCAGUUUGACUGGGGCGGUCGCCUCCUAAAAAGUAACGGAGGCGUCCAAAGGUUACCUCAGCGCGGAAGGAAAUCGCGCGUAAGAGUGCAAAGGCAGAAGGUAGCCUAACUGCGAGAAAGACAAUUCGAGCAGGGACGAAAGUCGGGCUUAGUGAUCCGGCGGUAGAGAAUGGGAUUGCCGUCGCUCAACGGAUAAAAGCUACCCUGGGGAUAACAGGCUGAUCUCCCCCAAGAGUCCACAUCGACGGGGAGGUUUGGCACCUCGAUGUCGGCUCAUCGCAUCCUGGGGCUGAAGUAGGUCCCAAGGGUUGGGCUGUUCGCCCAUUAAAGCGGUACGCGAGCUGGGUUCAGAACGUCGUGAGACAGUUCGGUCCCUAUCCGUCGCGGGCGCAGGAAAUUUGAGAGGAUCUGCCCUUAGUACGAGAGGACCGGGGUGGACAAACCGAUGGUGUACCAGUUGCGAAGCCAUUCGCACAGCUGGGUAGCCAAGUUUGGAAGGGAUAAACGCUGAAAGCAUCUAAGCGUGAAACCCACCUCAAGAUAAGAUUUCCCAUCCGAAAGGAGUAAGACACCUUGAAGAAGACGAGGUAGAUAGGCCGGAGGUGUAAGAGUAGAAAUACUUUUAGCUGACCGGUACUAAUAAGUCGAGGACUUGACCAA
rfam:Thermoanaerobacterium saccharolyticum JW/SL-YS485, complete genome.